rnacentral:rRNA from 1 species
CAGUAGCCACGGUAAUACGAAGGGGGCUAGCGUUGUUCGGAUUUACUGGGCGUAAAGGGCGCGUAGGCGGGCUGAUAAGUCAGGGGUGAAAUCCCAAGGCUCAACCUUGGAACUGCCUUUGAUACUAUUUAUCUUGAGUUCGAGAGAGGUAAGUGGAACUGCGAGUGUAGAGGUGAAAUUCGUAGAUAUUCGCAAGAACACCAGUGGCGAAGGCGGCUUACUGGCUCGAUACUGACGCUGAGGCGCGAAAGCGUGGGGAGCAAACAGGAUUAGAUACCCCAGUAGUCCCUGUCUCUUAUAC